UAUCAAUCAAGUAGAAUAAUUGAACCCAUCACCUCAUUCCCAUUACUGAUCCCCAACACAUACAAUGAAGGGAAACAGAUGAUUCUACAAGUUUUACAAGGUUUAGAAGAUCACUUGCCUCAAUUCGAACACACUAUCACUCCGUAACUUGAGUCUUCCCCCCUUUCAAACGGUAUCUGAAUCAAAGCAAUCCAUGGGGAUUUGCCCGAAGAGUUGGAUCAUUUGCAGAGGUUGAAAUUGAUUGAUGUCUCAAGCAAUAACUUCACUGGUGCCAUUUCAACAUCUUUAAGUUAGCUUGUAGAGCUUUGCAUUUUGCGCCUGUCUAGCAACCAAUUUUCCGGAAAAACCCCAUCUUCCCUUUCCAAUCUAAAAAUGAUGGAAGUGUUGAAAAUAAAGGAAAAUUUUCUCGAAGGAGAGAUCCCUCGAGAACUUGGUGAUCUUCGUUACAUGACUGCUUUAAACCUGGAAAGUAACCACCUUACUAGCUCAAUACCACCAUCAACCAUGCGAGUCAUUGCUGCUUCCAACAACUAUAUGAGACCAUCUUCCAAACUUAGAAGGGCUUGCUUCACCUCUCAGAAAACAUCCUAGGUGGCGUUAUUCCACCAAACUUGGAAAAAUGCAAAAAGCUCAAAAUUUUGUCAUUGUCUAUCAAUGAGUUCACUGGGACUAUACCAAGAAAGUUAGGCAACAUAACAGAUCUUACAGAAUUAGCUCUCACUUGGGAGGUAGUAUUACAUCUCUUAGCAAGAAAUUUUGAAUUUUCUUCUUUUUCACUCUUCCACCAAUUAUUGGUACUCAUAUAUAUAUGAGUACCAUCCCCGCAAGCAUUUUCAACAUGUCAGCACUGCAGAUCCUAGGAAUAUCAGAAAACAGGUUUUCAGAAUAUGGACAAGAUGGAAUAGUAUCCCCAAGCUGUGAUGUCUCCGCUACGGAGAAUCAGACUGUUGUGUUAUCCUUUCAAUUCUGCACAAGUACCGAAGAUCGCGCUGUAGCAUAUUGGAUUAUCGAAAGCAAGUCAUCAUUUCUUGAUGUAUGUAGUAUUUAUGAAAUUAAUAUGAAGUUACAGAUGCAGAAAUAAUUUAAAAGGAACAUCUCUGAGAUAUAUGGUUGUUGGUAUUUAUAAUACAUAACUCUUCACAA